AUGAACGCUGGCGGCGUGCCUAAUCCAUGCAAGUCGAGCGAACGGACGAGAAGCUUGCUUCUCUGAUGUUAGCGGCGGACGGGUGAGUAACACGUGGAUAACCUACCUAUAAGACUGGGAUAACUUCGGGAAACCGGAGCUAAUACCGGAUAAUAUUUUGAACCGCAUGGUUCAAAAGUGAAAGACGGUCUUGCUGUCACUUAUGGAUGGAUCCGCGCUGCAUUAGCUAGUUGGUAAGGUAACGGCUUACCAAGGCAACGAUGCAUAGCCGACCUGAGAGGGUGAUCGGCCACACUGGAACUGAGACACGGUCCAGACUCCUACGGGAGGCAGCAGUAGGGAAUCUUCCGCAAUGGGCGAAAGCCUGACGGAGCAACGCCGCGUGAGUGAUGAAGGUCUUCGGAUCGUAAAACUCUGUUAUUAGGGAAGAACAUAUGUGUAAGUAACUGUGCACAUCUUGACGGUACCUAAUCAGAAAGCCACGGCUAACUACGUG
rnacentral:rRNA from 1 species